AAAAAAGGAGGGGGAGUAUCUUGAAUUUGUCUUGUAUUCAAGGAAAUUUAGGUUCUUAAUGCAAUGAUAAGUUGAAGAACCAGCGAAGAAUUAAUCAGGUGGUGUGUUGGCAGGUCAUAAUUUUCCCAACAAAUUGUGUGCUUGCUCUCCACGUUCUCCUUCACAUCGUGUAUGAUUUCCCCAGCUCUGUCAUAAAAAGGGUCAGUUGUGCUGAGAUAUACACGCUCAGCAUCCAUUUCCCCAGGCGCCUCUCCUAGCCCCUUGCUGUUCACGUCACUCACAGUGGGAGCCCCAGCCUGAUACCAGCUUUGUCAGUUUCCUGGUCCUUGGUUGCACAGUCAGGCCCUCCCACACUUGCCAAUGGCUUUGGGCCAGGUCUGAACAUCCCUCAGCAUUUCAUUUAUGGACUUUUUGAAAUUUUGCAUCUUUUGCAAGAUUUACAACCUGACUUGAUCUGCACUGCACUUCCACAGCCUCACAACAUGAUUCCCAGGGCGUUCAGUGUUGGGGGUGUGUGUGUGUGAGAGAGAGAGAGAGACAGAGAAAGAGGGGGAGAGAAGUAGAUUCUGGAGCUACACAGUGAGAGAUACCUGAGCGGAGCCCAACUAUGCAAAUAGUCAAUUCAUUCAUGAAACUCCUUGUGUUACGACAACGUCUCUUCCUCUGCAGCCUCCUGACUGCAGGCACUCAGGCAGCUGAAACCUGGACCAGCAAGACUUCCAGGUAUCGCAGUCUUGGAACAGGAACAAAACCCUGGGACUCCCUGAAAUUCUGAUUUUUCUUGAGGGAAACAAACACCAUCGACACCGAGCCCAGUUUAUAAGGGUCCGGGGAGUGUUUCACCGGAAAGGGCGUAAGUCCCCUUCCCCAGGCCGGGAGUGGGCGCAGCACCUGCCGUGGAGGCUGGCGCCGCCGCGUGGCCUAGCGCUGCCCCGGCUUUGGAGCUUUAUAUCAGCGGGAGUGUUUUUAUUUAAUGUCAUAUGGUGAACACAAAGAACAUCCUCUGUUUUUGGACCUAAUUUCAGCAGGGCACAGAAUUAAGAGUUUAGCUGGUUGCCUUGUUUUCUGCCGAACUUAGGCUUCAGUAUUUUUGUUCCUGGAGCGAAGCUUCCUGCCCUCAUUAGAGAGAUUGAAAACUUCCUUGUACUCAUAUCUUACACUAUUUGUUUAGUUCUUUAAUAAAUGAAACCCUAAUCCAAGUGCAA